CAUAUUUUUCCUUGUUCUUUCUUUCUUCGUAUCUCUUUCCCAUCUUCUUUGUUCUUCCUCCUCUGCGAGUGAUGAGAGCUGGUUUGAGAGAGAGAUACAAUCGAUGAGUGAGAGCAUAUGGAUAGAUUAUGUUGAUGGAGAGAUGAUGAUGUUGUUGAGGUUUAUUGAGUUGAGGAAAGAAGAAAAGAUGAUAUCUGAAAAAAUCAGAUUGGGGUUUAGGUUGGUUUUUGAGUUUGAUCAAGUUGAUAUGAUAAUUGAGUUCCUGAUGGAUGAAUAUUGAAUGGGUAGAUGGUUAAUUGUAGUUUUGAAGCUGAAUCGGUGAUGAAUCAGUAUAUAAGAGAACAAAUUAGGGUUGCAGAUUGAUUCGAAGUUUAAAUGAAAUUAUUAAGUUGAUUGAGUUCUUCAUAGAUGAAGGAUAAAUGGGUUAUUGUUGAAUUGAUGAUGUGAAGCAGUUCUGUUGAAGAUUCUGCAAAUUAGGGCUUCGUGUAAAUGAUCACAGAUGUGUUAGAAGAAGAAAUUGAAAUUGACGAAGACUAUGAGGCGUGAUUUGAAGAGUGGUAGAAGCUGAACGUGCUAAUGAAUUGAGGUGAUGGUUCUGUACAAUGAAUGGAAUUGUAGUUGCAGGUGAAAGAAUGAUGUUAGAUAUAGCUGGUUGUGUUGGGAUGGAGUUACAGUUGUGGACAAUGAUGGUGCGCUCAAGAACAAUGGCUAUAUGUUGCGAGAAUUGAAUGUGUUGCAGAAUGGUGGCUGGUGGUGUUGGUGUUGUUGUUCAUGGGGUUGGCAGUGAUGCCAGUGUAAUGGAUGUGGCGGUAUUAUAGCUAUGUUGGCUGAUGCAAGUGGUGUUGCUUCAAGGAAAUAAGUUAGUGAUGUUGUUGUUGUUGCAGGAAAGGUGUUGGUGGAUUAUUGUAUUAGUGGAAGGUUUGUUGUGGUGUCGAGAUUGAGAGCCAUCAUGGAUGAGAUGAAGAUGAAAUUUCAGGGUUAAGAAGAUAUUGAGCUUAUAUGGAUGGUUGGUGGUGUUUUAAUGCAAAGAAGCUGGUUUUAGAAUUGUUGUUAGUCUAGUUAAGAAGAAGUCAUGUUAAUGCUGAUUGAAAAAAGUGUAAAUGUUGGUUGUUGAUGUGGUAUGUGAUAUAAUUGUAAUGAAGAGUGAGGAGUAGAUUGAACAAUUAUAAUUUGGUGGUUUCAAUGGAGGCCUGCUUAGAACUACAAUUGUAGGUAAACUAAAUUAUCACUUGUAAUUGAGUUAUAAGGUUUAAUUAAGAAAGUGUAAUGUUGAGAUUUAUGGUGAACCAAAAUAGUAACUGCUGAUGAGAGUGGUUGGUUGUAUUGAUGUUUCAGCAGUGGCCUUAGUGAGACCCUGCAUCUGCAGAUCUAGGUAAGCUUAAUUACCGUUGUAUUGAAGUUAUAGAAUUUUAUUUGAAUAAAAUUUAUUUAAGAUAAA